rnacentral:rRNA from 1 species
AGUUCGAUCCUGGCUCAGAUUGAACGCUGGCGGGAUGCUUUACACAUGCAAGUCGAACGGCAGCACGGACUUCGGUCUGGUGGCGAGUGGCGAACGGUGAGUACGUAUCGAACGCCGGUAGCGGGGAUAUUAACUACGCGAAAGCGUAGCUAAUACCGCAUACGCCCUUCGGGGGAAAGCGGGGGACCUUCUUCGCCUCUGCACCAUUAGAGCGGCCGAUGCCUGAUUAGCUAGUUGGUGGGGUAACGGCUCACCAAGGCGACGAUCCGUAGCUGGUUUGAGAGGACGACCAGCCACACUGGGACUGAGACACGGCCCAGACUCCUACGGAGGUGCAGUGGGGAAUUCCCUGGACAAUGGGGGAAACCUUGAUCCAGCCAUCCUUGCGUGUGCGAUGAAGGCCUUCGGGUUGUAAAGCACUUUUGGCAGGAAAAGAAACGGGUACCGGGAUAAUACCCCGUGCAACCGACGGUACCCGCAAGAACAAGCACCGGCUAACUACGCCAGCAGCCGCGGUAAUAUGUAGGGUGCAAGCGUUAAUCGGAAUUACUGGGCGUAAAGCGUGCGCAGGCGGUUCGGAAAGAAAGAUGUGAACCAGCUGAAUCUUGGAACUGCAUUUUUAACUACCGAGCUAGAGUGUGUCAGAGGGAGGUGGAAUUCCGCGUGUAGCAGUGAAAUGCGUAGAUAUGCGGAGGAACACCGAUGGCGAAGGCUUUCCUGAUAACACUGACGCUCAUGCACGAAAGCGUGGGGAGCAAACAGGAUUAGAUACCCUGGUAGUCCACGCCCUAAACGAUGUCAACUAGCUGUUAGCCUUCGGGCCUUGGUAGCGCAGCUAACGCGUGAAGUUGACCGCCUGGGGAGUACGGUCGCAAGAUUAAAACUCAAAGCGAAUGACGAGACCCGCACAAGCGGUGGAUGAUGUGGAUUAAUUCGAUGCAACGCGAAAAACCUUUACCUACCUCGACAUGUUCAAAUCCCGAAGAGAUUUGGGAGUGCUCGCAAGAGAACCGGAACACAGGUGCUGCAUGGCUGUCGUCAGCUCGUGUCGUGAGAUGUUAGUUAUUAAGUCCCAACGAGCGCAACCCUUGUCAUUAGUUGCUACAGAAAGGGCACUCUAUCGAGACAGACAAACCGGAGGAAGGUGGGGAUGACGUCGAGUCCUCAGCGGCCCCUAUGGGUAGGGCUUCACACGUCAUACAAUGGUCGGGACAGAGGGUCGCCAACCCGCGAGGGGGAGCCAAUCCCAGAAACCCGAUCGUAGUCCGGAUCGCAGUCUGCAACUGACUGCGUGAAGUCGGAAUCGCUAGUAAUCGCGGAUCAUAUGUUGCGUGAAUAUGCUCCUGGUCUUGUACACACCGCCCGUCACACAUGGGAGGUGUAGGUUGACUAUAGUUUAGUUAGCCUAACCGUAUGAGGGCGAUUACCACGGUAGGAUUCAUGACUGGGGUGAAGUCGUAACAAGCAA